rnacentral:rRNA from 1 species
UAGUCCACGCCGUAAACGAUGUCUACUAGCUGUAGGGGUACUUGAGACCUUUGUAGCGCAGCUAACGCACUAAGUAGACCGCCUGGGGAGUACGGCCGCAAGGUUAAAACUCAAAUGAAUUGACGGGGGCCCGCACAAGCAGUGGAGCAUGUGGUUUAAUUCGAUGCAACGCGAAGAACCUUACCAGGCCUUGACAUCCCCGGAACUUUCUAGAGAUAGAUUGGUGCCUUCGGGAACCGGGUGACAGGUGCUGCAUGGCUGUCGUCAGCUCGUGUCGUGAGAUGUUGGGUUAAGUCCCAUAACGAGCGCAACCCUUGUCCUUAGUUGCCAGCACGUAAUGGUGGGAACUCUAAGGAGACUGCCGGUGACAAACCGGGAGGAAGGUGGGGACGACGUCAAGUCAUCAUGGCCCUUACGGGCCUGGGGCUACACACGUGCUACAAUGGUAGAGACAGA